CGCUUUUUUGCUAUCUGCAAUAUAGAUUCGAACCUGCAGGUUCGGGUCUCAUGCAGUGAGACAACGGAGCCGUUUACGGCGACGGCCCGAAGGGCGAGCGAAGCGAGUCAUCCUGCACGACCCACCA
rnacentral:sRNA from 1 species